AUCCUGGCUCAGAUUGAACGCUGGCGGCAUGCCUUACACAUGCAAGUCGAACGGCAGCACGGGGGCAACCCUGGUGGCGAGUGGCGAACGGGUGAGUAAUACAUCGGAACGUGUCCUGUAGUGGGGGAUAGCCCGGCGAAAGCCGGAUUAAUACCGCAUACGCUCUACGGAGGAAAGGGGGGGAUCUUAGGACCUCCCGCUACAGGGGCGGCCGAUGGCAGAUUAGCUAGUUGGUGGGGUAAAGGCCUACCAAGGCGACGAUCUGUAGCUGGUCUGAGAGGACGACCAGCCACACUGGGACUGAGACACGGCCCAGACUCCUACGGGAGGCAGCAGUGGGGAAUUUUGGACAAUGGGGGCAACCCUGAUCCAGCAAUGCCGCGUGUGUGAAGAAGGCCUUCGGGUUGUAAAGCACUUUUGUCCGGAAAGAAAACGCCGUGGUUAAUACCCGUGGCGGAUGACGGUACCGGAAGAAUAAGCACCGGCUAACUACGUGCCAGCAGCCGCGGUAAUACGUAGGGUGCAAGCGUUAAUCGGAAUUACUGGGCGUAAAGCGUGCGCAGGCGGUUCGCUAAGACAGAUGUGAAAUCCCCGGGCUUAACCUGGGAACUGCAUUUGUGACUGGCGGGCUAGAGUAUGGCAGAGGGGGGUAGAAUUCCACGUGUAGCAGUGAAAUGCGUAGAGAUGUGGAGGAAUACCGAUGGCGAAGGCAGCCCCCUGGGCCAAUACUGACGCUCAUGCACGAAAGCGU
rnacentral:rRNA from 1 species